rnacentral:rRNA from 1 species
CUUAAAUUUUGGAAUUUGUUUUGAACUCAGAUAUUGGAAUCCAAGAUUUUCUUGCGCGGAGCGCGAGGAUAGCGGCAAACGGGUGAGUAACACAUUGGUACAUACCACUAAGAUGGGCAUAACUUCGCGAAAGCGGAGCUAAUACCCAAUGGUCUCUAACCUCGUAAGAGUGCUAGAGUAAAGGAGCAAUCCGCUUAGUGAUUGGCCUAUGUCCUAUCAGGUAGUUGGUAAGGUAAUGGCUUACCAAGCCGAUGACGGGUAGCGGGCGUGAGAGCGCGGCCCGCCUCAUUGGGACUGAGACACUGCCCAAUCUCCUACGGGAGGCUGCAGUUAAGAAUCUUCCUCAAUGGCCGAAAGGCUGAAGGAGCGACGCCGCGUGAAUGAUGAAGCCCUUCGGGGUGUAAAACUCUUUUCUAGAGGAAAAAGCCUUGUGUUUACACAAGGUUGAUGGUACUCUAGGAAUAAGCCACUGCUAACCUCGUGCCAGCAGCAGCGGUAAGACGAGGGUGGCAAGCGUUAUCCGGAUUUACUGGGCGUAAAGAGUGUGUAGGCGGUCUAAAAAGUUCUCGGUUAAAGCCCUUUGCUCAACAUAGGGAUUGCUGGGGAAACUAUUAGACUAGAGGCCGGAAGAGGCAAGCGGAAUUGCCGGUGGAGCGGUAAAAUGUGUUGAUAUCGGCAAGAACACCAAAAGCGAAGGCAGCUUGCUAGGACGGUUCUGACGCUGAGACACGAAAGCGUGGGGAGCGACAAGGAUUAGAUACCCUUUUAGUCCACGCCCUAAACAAUGGAUGCUGGGUACUGGAAGUGUCGACCCUUCCAGUGUCGCAAGAAAAAGCUAACGCGUUAAGCAUCCCGCCUGGGAAGUACGGCCGCAAGGCUAAAACUCAAAGGAAUAGACGGGGACUCG